CUCAGAGAGAUGAUUUAGCAGAGGGUUGUUAGAGUUAGGGUACUAUGGUUAGGCUGUGGUUGGACUUGAUGAUCUUUGAGGUCCUUUCCAACCUGAGUAAUUCUAUGAUUCUAUGAUCCUCUGGGCCUUUCUUAAUAACCAGUAGGCUGGAGAAAUCCUUACAAGCCAUUUAUUGCCUCUCAGGAUAUGAAGGAGGAUUUAAAUGGGGCUCAUUAAAUGUCUCCUUUUCACUUUCAGUUCCAGGCUGGUGCUCCUCAUCAUGCUGUCUCAACCUCCUUACCCAUUUGUUUCUCCUUUCUUUCAUACCGACAUUUUUGAAGAUGCAUGGGCAUCUUCAAAAACAACUGGAUGUCACCUUUGGUGUUUUUUUUCUUAAAGCUGGGAGUGUUAGAUACUGGCAAGUGCUUGUGCAUUGCUCCUUUUCAUCCUUUCACCUACCCAGGGCCCCAUCCAACCUAGCCCUGAGCACCUCCAGGGAGGGGGCAUCUACAACUUGUCUGGGCAGCUGUGCCAGCACCUCACCACCCUGUGUGUUUGUCCCCUUAAGAAAAUUAUUGUGUGUGUCAAAUCUCUUGUAAUGAGAACUCUUGAUAGCAUAGUAAUCCAUGUAAUAAAAAUGAGAUCGUGGGCCCAGGUGACACUGGGAAAUACUAGGUUGCAAACAUCCUUAUUGUUAACAAUUGCACUUAAUUGCUAUAAUCAUGGCGAGUUAAAAUAGGGUCAAGCCCGUAGCUAAGGUAGAUCUGAAGUGAGGUCAUUUGUGAUGUCAAAACUGAAGUCGCCGGCCUCAUGCCUUCCUGCAUGGCCGUAACAAGGAGAAGCACCCAUGGCUGCACAGCAGAUUGCACAAGGUGGCCCUGCUGCUCCAUUGCUUCAGCUGGGGUGUCCAGUGAGGGACAGAAGUGCUGGGGGAAGGGGAAAGGCACUGCCCCCAGAGAGGAGCCCACACGGCCUUCCCUGAUGGCUGCCAGAGACAAAUGUGCAAACCAUUGCUAGGAGGUGAUUGAUAUAAAAUGUAAAGGGAUUAGUGAAAUUGGUUUGUAAGAUAAAUUAAUGUUGACCUUUCAAGCGAUGGGUUGGAGCCAGCAGCAAGAAAGCAGGUUUUGACGGAGACCAGUGUUGACUGGCUAAAAGCAUCACAAGAUAAAUGAGGGUCUGUUUGGUGAUGCCUAGGCACAAGGUCACAUUGUCAUGUGGGGAUGCUGCUGGCCAGCAAGGUGGUUGCUCUGUGUCAGUGGGCCACUUUCUUGCAGUGUCACUGAGCUGCCAUGGCUUGUGUGUCUGCCUGUACUGUGCCUGUAUCCACUGAGUGAACUACUGUUGGUGUAGAAUCAUAAUGAAGUUAACCGUGAGAAUUGGCAUGUUUUAUGUGGUAGUCCCUUUGCACUUAGCAUUGGUGAGGCUGCACCUCAAGUGCUGUGUUCUGUUCUGGGCCCCUCAGUACAAGAAAGACGUGGAGGCCCUGGAGUGUGACCAGAGAAGGGCAGUGGAGCUGAGAGGUCUGGAGCACAAGUUCUGAGGAACUGAGGGUUGUUCAGUCUGGAGAAGAGGAGACUCAGGGGUGACCUUAUCACUCCCUACAGUGACUUUAAAGGAGAUUGUGGUAAGGUGGAGGUCAUCCUCUUCUCCCAGGUAACUGUAAUAGGAUGAGAGGUAAUGGCCUUAAGCUGUGCCAGGGGAGGCUCAGGUUGGAUAUUAGGAAAAAGUUCUUAAAAAGAACGGUGCUGCAGUGGCACAGGCUGCCCAGGGAGGUGGCGGAGUCACUGUCCCUGAUGGUGUUCCAGGACUGUGUGGAGGUGGCAUUGAAGGACGUGGUCAGUGGGCAGUUCUGGUCAUAGGUGGACAGUUGGACUGGGUGAUCUUAGAGGUCUCUUUCAACCUUAAUGAUUCUAUAAUUCUGUGUGAUGAAGAGCGCAUAACUCGGUGAUCCCACUGAACUCAGUGAUCCCCUAUUCAUAGAAAUAAUCUAUAGAAUAGGUUAUAAGUAGAAACAAUCUAGCAAUAUUGUGAUGAUUUCUCCAACUCUUCCUGGAAACCAGGGGUUUUGCCAGCUGUGCUCACCUCAAAGUGUUCAGAUUUCCUUUUGCUGCUCACUGUGAGUGCACAGACAGCCACGUCUCCAUCCCGGCGUGACAGUGCAAUGAGAAAAUUGUAUCUUUAAAUACCAACUUAAUCUAAUCUGGGACAAAAACAAUGAAAGGCUUUAAUCAUAAUUGCAUGGUGCCUGCUGGCUGUCACCAGAGGGCAGAGACAAGGUUGUUCGUUGCCACGUGUGGAUAGUUCAGAAAUUAAAUCUCCUUUCCACAAAGGCAAUAGAUUCUGAUCUAGCUUGUGUCCUUUCCAAAUAUUUCAGCCCUGUAACCAGAUAGCUCAUUUCAUCAGCAUCUGUCACAAACGCUGUCUUGCUUCUGUCAAGCUAUGUACAAAGGGGCAAGGAGAAAUGUCUUUAUCGUACCGUGGGUGCCUGACUUUGUAACAUCGCAGCUUACACAAGAUACUGGCUCACAAUAUAAACAGGAGACUGACUUUCCCUUUGCAAGGCUUUUCCAGAGCUUGGUACUUGCAGUGCCCGCGCUCUGUGAGUGCUUCCCAGCUGGGCAACCACAGCAGGAACAGAGGGAGCCCGAUGGGGAUCCAUCUUUGAUCGGGAGCUGCUCUUACACAGUACACAUGGAAAGCUGUGCUGUGGUCUCAGCUUAGAAGAAUGAAGGUUUUAAAGCCAAAGGCAGUAAGGUACAACUUGUUCGAUGGUCAUCCUAUAUGGGGAAGGCAGAUUCCAUACAGCUGGCAGCAUGGGUACCCGGGGCAAGGGGAACAGAGAUGCUCUCAGGUGUCUGCUCUCCAUGACUGCGUACCUCCUUGCUGGAAUCUGAGAGCAAGUAAGUUUGUUUAGGAAGAGUUUAAAAGUCUUUACUGACCUACCUGGUGCCUCCUGGAUAGUUAAGCUGCGUGGAAAUACUGAGGGCUUUGCAUCCUGGGGAGGCUGAAGGUGCUGCGUCAGAUGGUGCUGCGCUGGAAACAUGUCUGAAGGAUCAGGAUUAUGUACAGGGUCAGAGCAGUGUCCUUGUCUUUCAGCGUGUAAGUUCAGGUGAAACACUCAGCUCUGUGCAUUUCUCUCUCAGAACUGGGAAAAAUGAUUCCCAUAGGUGAGGAAGGAUUUGUCCUGUGGCUGAGCUCCAGGGCCACAGUGAUGCAGAAAGAUGCUGGAGGCUCUUUGUGUUAGCUCUGCUGUACCUCCAGAUCUUUAAUUUCACUGCUUUUCAAAAUGGAAACAAAGAAGCUAAGCUGAAAUUAGCCAGUGACCUAAAUAUGACAUGGAGGGCCUGUGGGAAGCAAAGUGGACAUGCAGCAGGGAAAUUCAGCAUCACCAAUGUGAACCAUGGUGUUACAGAUGCAUGGUCAGCUUUUUGUCCAUUGCUUCCUCCUUGCUGCCAGCUCUGGCAGGUAUGAUGACUACUGCAAACACACAAAAACUCUCACUAUUUUUUACUCCUAAAGUAAGAUACAGAGGCUCUGUCUUGUUCUCUGCUUUCCACCCAUCACGUUUUUUAGUUAGCUCACAUGAUGAGGGAUCUGAUACUUACAAAACGUUCAUGAUCUUGAAUCUAGGAUCAAGAAUAGAAUAAAAGGUACAAGGAAGCAGACGUGCUCUUUCACUUGUCCCUUUUUUUGAUCUCCUUAAUCCUUAAGGGUGGUGAGGCACUGGCACAGCUGCCCAGAGAAGCUGUGGGUGCCCCAUCCCUGGAGGAUUAAGGCCAGGUUGGAUAAGACCCUGGGCAGCCUGAGCUGGGGGGGUGGCAGCCCUGCCCAUGGCGGAGGGUUGGAAAUGGGUGGGCUUUAAGGUCCCUUCCAACCCAAGCCAUUCUGUGAUUAAUCAGAAUGCAGCCUCUUCCCACCUUGCUCCAGGUUAUCUUAUUCUUUAACUGGAAAAAUAUUUAUAUACUAUCCCAGGCCACAGGAGCGGGAAGAAGGCUCGUCAGUGCACAUUGCAAAGAUAUUGUAGGGUAAUGUUACUUUGUCUUACUGGCUCACAUUCAGAUUCUGCAUUUAUCAUUUUUACAACUUAUGCCUUAAAUUGUUGUAAGAUAACCAGACUAUAGCAGUCUUAUCACGCUUACAUGCUUGUACUUUUAUGUUAGUUUUAUGGUUGUGAUAUUGAAUCCUCUUAAAGAAAAGGCAAGUUGCUUUGACUGCAGUGAGAAUUAUUUCCAUGCUCAGCCGAGCUUGCAUUUUUUUCUCAGUGCAUCUUUCAUUCUGAACAUCUUAUGCUUACUUUUUGGAUAACUGCAACCUCUGUAGUGCUUUAUCUCAGAAUGCAGUUUUGUACCAUCUCCCUUCAAGAAAAGCUAAGCUACACAGAACAGCCCUUCCAGGUUGCAGUAUGAGCUACCAGAAGAGCUACUGCUGCUCGAGUGUCUCUGUGCCGUGCACCGCUGGAUGGCCAGGCUUGGUGUCAACAAACAAGCCCAUGGGCCCACUGUUUGCAGCUCCAGUGCCAAGGCUUAAUUGGAGAAGGGACACUGUUAAUCAGAACCAGGAAUCAUUGGGCUGACUUGCCAAGUCAGACUAAGAGGAGUUUAUAUGGUCGUUCUGAGGACUUAGCAUAAAGCAUCUGGACAUGCAAGACAUCGGUACGUAAACACGAUAUGCCCUGAUGUUUUAGUUAUUUUGGCCUGCAGCAGCGAAGAACAUUUUAAAGGCCGGAUCCUUUGUAGUGCUGAAUACCCUCAACACCAGUUGUACUCGUCAGAACCCACCGUGCUCGGCGCCUUCCCAUGAGGUGCCUCGGGUAGAGCCCCAUGCUGCCUGCCAUCCCAGCCAGCAGCCGCCACCACCCUGGGGGUGGAAAGUACGAGGGCAACUUGACUCCAUUGAGAACCACAAGACAUUCCUUGUAUGUGAAAUUUCUGCAGAUUCAAGAUUUCUACAUAGCCGUGCUGCUGCUUACUUACAGAAACAUGUUUUCACAGCUUAAAUGCAUUAACCCCUCGUGGGCCUUAGAUUUCUGCGUAGGAUUUGACAUGACAUGUCUUCGAGAGAUCUUCAGGACAGGAAGACAAAACACCACUCCUGGAAAUUAAAAAAUAACUGAAUUUAGAUCAAACACUUCUGGAAAGUCUGGCUUUUGCUCUAAAAGGUUAAUCAGUAUUUGGAUUUUUUUUUGCCGUGGGAGGUUCCUUGUGUAAUUAUUGAAAAGCAAGAUCAAAAACCAGCAUCAUCUUUUGAGUGCCAAUGUCACACGCCUGGACAAAAACAAGCUAGAUCAGCCCUAAUGAUAUUUGCUCCUGGACACACUGCAGAAUCCCUGGCUGUGCUUAGGAUAGGAAGGAAUUUCCUCAUGUGGUGAGUUGGCAAAGCCUUUGGGUUUGUUUUGUUCUUGUGUAUUUUUCAAGGACUGUCUUGGAAUUUUAUUUCAGUUUUUUUUUUUUCCUUUCUGCAGCCUUGUGAUCAGAGCUGAGCAUUAGCCUUGUCCCCUCUAUGGGCUCUGCUUUGUUUCUAAAGAUUUCCUCUGCUUUCUUUAGGUGUGGAUUGGUUUGAUUGUUUUUUGCAUUACAAGAAUACUCUAGCAAUCAUAAAAAAUAAUCUAGAUUAUUGUCUACCUAGAAAUGAGAGGCAGAGAAAGGAAGAGGGUUAAGGGAAUGACUCGCUGCUCAACUACUUACAGCCUCCUAGUCCACUCCCUAGAAAAUCAGUGGAUUAUAGGAUGCUCCAAUGUUCAAGAUCGCAAUCCAAGCACACACUGUGUCAGAUGCAGCACUACACCUAAGCAGCAACUUCUCCACUUCUGUAUGUAGCUAGAUCAUUGCCAGGCCUAGAAUAAGGUGAACAAAAUUCCUAAUCUCACAGUCAAUGAUAACAUGCCUUUAUGAUUUUACUGCUGUUAUGCUUAUGAAAACAGUCUGUAUGUGUGAUGGAUAUUUAUGCAUGCUUACUUUUCUUAUUUCAGGCACACUGUUUCUAGAUCUUUAUAAGCAGCCCCAGGGUUUUCUUUUGGUGCUCUUUUGGCACAUCACUGGCCGUACUUGAAGCCGAUGGGAGAGUUUGCCUUGGACUCAGAGAGCGGGCCUUGCCUUGGGUCAAGUAAAGCCAGCAACUGGAUCCAACAACAACUACUUGAUCUCCAGUUUCCAGUUUCUCCAAUUGUUUUGUCUGUUCUGCAAAAGCUAAGUUAAUUACAAAUAAUAGGCCCUAAUUUGACAUACACCUGUCUCAUAUUCAACCUCUGUGAUUAGAAAAACACCAAGACUAGAUAUCUACAUGAAGUCUGUCUUGUGAACAUGGAGGCAAGCUGGAAACUAGACCUCAAAGGGAAGAGUAAGUUGAAUUCUUCCUCCAAAAGGGAUAUUCACUUCAACACACUGUAGCUGUGAACAGCAUUUGCAAUUCCAUAUCUCAUCCCAUUAGUUAAAUUGGUUUGCUCCAAGGGGUGAUGGGGGAGUUUUCACAGAGAAGACACAGAUGUCCUCCUUUCCCUCUAAUGCCUUGGCAUUAAACCAGACGAGACUGUGCUCAUGUGGUUUAAUAUCCUCGUUGUUCAUGAGUUUUCCCUAGAUCAGAGGCUGCUGAGGAGGCUUGUGCAAGGCAAUAGCCACAGCUGUAUACGUGACCAACAAAGUGCUCUUUGCUGCCACCAGCUCCACCAGAGCACAAAGCUUAAAGGGCUCUUUGACAUGGCCCAGCCCCUCACACUGAAAUCUCUUUCAUUUAGGAAUUCAGCAGCGAAUGUCCUUUGACUUCCGCUGUGUGUGAGCAUGUGCUUUUCUGGUCCAAACAGAGAGGAUUUGGUCCUGCCAGGGUAGAUCGGUGCCCUUUGUAGUGCACAGAAGGCAGGUGGACAAGUGGGAGCACGUGCUCCUUCUACCAUUAUUUCAUUACUGUUCAUCAUUUAUCAUAAUUGUGAUUUCAUUGUUAUUGCUGUGUAUCUGAGGAACACACUCUGAGCACGCUUCCUAUUUGCGCCUGACAGCGAGGGAGCAUCUCAAAAAAUCCCUGAGGGUUUUUGAGAUCACAAAGCUCAGAAAGAUAACACAAUUAGUGCACAUAACUCCCCUUGGUUUUCUUUAUGCCUGCUGACAAGGUUAGCAAUAACCCGUCUUUGUGAGGGAUUGUUUUGUCUCCUCUACCAACGCAUCCAGACUGGCAAGCUUUCGGUCUGACUUAUUAGAGUGUAUCUCAUUUUUCAUAAGGAAGUGGUGGUGAAAUUAGAGGCAUAUUACAUAAAGACAUCCCAAGUUAUAAAAGGAUGAAUACCAAAGGAAGUUAAUAAUUAAAAAUCCACACUUUUUAUUUUUUUCACUAACUUGAAGCCUGACCUGAAGACUGUCCACAGUGGGCUUCUCUCUGUCCACCUCUAGCUUGAACUGGGAACGGUAUAAACAACUCUACUGGGAGGUGAAUGGUGAAGCCCAAGCUCAGUGAAGCUGCAGUAUUUAGACUGAGUGUGGUCUGUGAUGUGGCUGCUGCUGCUGGAGCCAAGCUGGUUGUCCUCAAACAAGCUCCUCUUGAGUUACGGUAACUCAAGCGAUUCUGACUUUAUCCUAGAUGCCAGCCCCCAGCUAUUCCUGGAAUUAGAUUCUAGGCUAGGAGUGUGUGUUUUAAUAGAAAAACAUCUAUAUGAUCUCCAAUUCUUUCAUUCUCCUAAAGAAAUGUUAGUUUUUCUAAUUUCUGCUGAUUUUUCCCAUGGACCCACUGACUCUCCCACACAUUCUGCCUUAUGAUAGAAGCACUUUAGUGAUGAAAGAAAGUAGGGCCUAUUCAUGGGAAAAAAGGUAGUCUGAAUGCUUCAGAGGAUCAUCUUCUAAGUAGCUCGUCUUUAUUGCUUCAUAGCACACAUGUGAGUUGCGGUCCUUGCUAAUCUGGUUGAUGCAGAGUUAGGAAUGGUAUGCAGCGAUAUUGAUGGAUUAUCCCUGAAGCUAAAGACUGAGAAUACCCCAUUACUUCUGUUUGAAAAUCUCAGUUACGUUCUCACCCAGACAUCCUCAUUUUCUCAGGAAUUUCUGUACACUCAGCACAAAAUGCUUGCACAAUAGGCACGGCAACUCCUGCAACUAUUGCUUACAAUCUGCUGGCUAAUCCUUUCUGUGAUCCACGCGGUGCCUACUGGGUUUGGCUUUUGACUGGGAUUAGAAUCUGGUGCUGAUGCAUACUGCCAAGCAUGCCAAGCAGCAUACAAACCUGGAGCUCAGAGCCUAUUGUUUGUGCAUCUUUCCUCUAAUUCCGCUUUUGAACCCCUGUCUCCUUCCAGCCCUUAAGUAAGACAUCUAAUCCUGUUCCAUUUCCAUACCUUUCCAGGGAUUUGUUUCGUACUAUCAGUUAAUGUCUAUUACCUGCUUUUGGACAGGGGAUGCCAGGAUGGUGUCACCCUGGUGCCACAGCAAACUAUCAUAUCUCAAGUGGGAAGCUGCGUUUCUGCUGCUCAAGCACCUCUACUAUUCAGUGAAAUUGCCUUUUCAAUGGGAAUUUCUGCCCUCUCCAGCAGUGCUGCUGCACCCAAACCAUACACAAGCAGGAAGGCAUGGCAAGUAUCAAGGCUGAGGCAUGGAGUGCCUGCUGAGUAUGGGGCACACAGUAAGCGGCUUUAGGAUUUUCUUUCUGUCCUGUCCCUGUUGCACGUGACUCCAAUGCUACUCUGGGGUCUGUGUGAGCUGGUAGGGAGCCCUUGCUCCUCCCAGUCUGUUCAGGCUUUCAGGGGUUCAUGCUGCUUUUGUCCCAGUUUCAUGUCAGAAGGACACUUGCUGGGUCUAGGUACAGCACACCCUGCUCAGGCUCCAUCCCUGCACUGCCAUGGCCUUGCAUCCACGCCUUCAGUUAACCAAGCCUCGUCUGCAACCUGUUGCUCCUGCCCUACAAUGCUGCUUAAAUUUAGUUUAAAAUCUGGCCAUUUUACUGCUGCAUCCCACAUUCCUCACAGACAGUAGCAAGCUAAUAACAACGUGCUGAUGCCAUCGUAGCCAUCACAGGCUGGAGCUGGCAUGCAUAGUCUUGUCUCGUAAACCUCUUUGUCCCGUGAGAGAUUUGAGAAUUUAAUACACAUUCGGUCUGUACCUCCUUAUUUGAGGCUGGCCAGUCUGAAUCACUUUUGAUAAACUCUAAGCAGGAAUUUCAAACAUAGUUAUGUUCCUAUCAGUUUAAUUAAAGUAGAUGACUGGGUAGAGAAACCCUGUGAAAUGUUCCCAUUGAGGAGAAGGCUGUGCUGGGUGUGCCCCUGAGGAACCAUCAGGGAAUCUGCACAGGGCCAUGGCUGUUAUCAUGGGGCACUGAGGAACUUUACUUGAAGCUCUGUCUUGCACUGCCUUAUGAGGAUGCGACACUGCGUGGAUAUGAGAAGCCGGAAAGGACAGGCAUGGCAUGGAGUUUACUUUGCCAACAUUGGUGUCAAUGUAUACCCAGGAACUGCAAAUACUGGUUGGAAACACGUUGUGCUGUCCAGAGGCAUAAUUACAGAAAGCUUGUAGUUGUCUUUAUCACAAAGUUUUAAUUAGCAGGACACAUUAAAUAACCAGCUGAUACAGAUCUUAAUGAAUCAUUUAUAGGCCUACAUCUAGGAUAAUUAUAUGUAGCUGGUCACAUGAAAUCACUUGCAUACGCCUGGGCUUAUGUGAAAUGGAAUAUGCAUCUUCCUCAUGAAAUAAGGGUGAAAGAGGGAUGGGAUGAAACUGGGGCACCAGCCUACCUUCCCCAAGCUCUUUUUGCAUGAAGUAUUUUCAGCAAAAUAAAUAAGGCUGGCUUCAAGAAGUCCGCCGAGCUCCAGGAUGGGCAUCUCGGGCCAGUCCCCUUUCUGUUGGCAGGUUUGUCUCUUCCAUUGUGAUGGGUACCCUAUAGCACUCAUUUCCCGCCUUCACUGCAUGCUGGCCCAUGGGCAGGGGUCUUGGUCUUAGGUCCUUUCACAGAAUUGUAGGGGUUGGAAGGUUGACCUCAAGAGAUCAUUGAGUCCAAGCCCCCUGCUAAAGCAGGUUCCCUACGUAGGUCACAGAGGUAGGCAUCCAGAUGAGUCUUGAAUAUCUCCAUUGAAGGAGCCUCCACAACCUCUAUGGGCAACCUGUUCCAGUGCUCUGUCACCCUUACGACAGCCUUAGCUUGUAUAAUUGGGAGCUGUUGUUUUUAUCAAGUGAUACUUCAGCUGCUGGUUCUUUGUACUAUGUUACAUGCAAAAAGAAAUAAUGACCUCCUGUAUGGCAUGGAUGUGUUGUCCAAUGAUUUUACAUACAGUGACGUAGUUGGCUUGCUCAACUGGAGCCCCAGAAGGAGCAGAGCCCCUGUUUGACUGCAAGUCAGAAGCAAGGGAUAAACAAACCCUUGCAAGUGUAUAUUUGAAAAGAUUAAGAGCAAAGUAUUACCAACCCAUGCGAUAUUGUAAUCAAAAAUCCUUUAAAAGUGGCGUUGACUAAUUUUCUCAAUUAUCCUCAGAGUCUGCUGUUAACAGGUUUCCCUGGUUUCUCAGCACCAGACAAACUCUGCUGAUCUCUGCAAAAUGUCUUCCACCUUAAGUACAGAGUUCUCCUUAGAAUUAGUGGUUUUUUUCAGAGUUAAUAUGUUAGUCUCCUGAUGUGCCACAGCAGGCGUCUGGAGCAGAUCUUACCAGACUGUUUAUGCUGCGCUUCCUCCUAGAUUGGUUUGAGGCAAGGGAGCACUUGUGGCAAGAGCUGUUGUGGUGCAGGGUUUGGCAGCAUCUUUCCACACCCUAGUUUUUGUUUUUUGUCAAGGACAGAGGGAUGGAGGCUCCAAGAAUGGCUUCUUAGUUCCCAUCAGGGGACAGCCACACAGCAGGGCAUGAGCUGGUGCCAUGUUUCCAAGGUGUCAGAGAUGUCCUCUGCCACUUUUUCCUAAAAGAAAAAGAGAAAUAUGUUAAAAGGGAUUACUCUCUCCCCUAAGGCAGGAAGUGGUCAGUAUGUGGUCCACCCCUGAAACCAGGGGCACCUUCUCCAGAGGUCCAUGCUGUAUGGUCCUACCCAACAGGGUGGACAUGGUCAGAACCACGUAUGAUAGCAUGUUGUGUGCUGAAGCUGACAGUCUGCCCAGACUGAUGUCUGUAAUAACUUUGCACAUUGUGGUUGUUGCUGUUUUUAUCCUCCUACCCCCUUGGGAAGUAAGGAAGUUCUAUUAGUCAUUUUCUGGGGAGAAACUGAGAUGUGGCUUGAUGAGGCCACACAGGGAGCCUGUAGCAGAGCCGUGCAGCUAUCAGACCAACCGUCCUCAUUCGUUAUUGGCUCUGCUAGAUACUUGUGCAUAGCUAGGAAACACAGACAUGGCUCCUGAAUGGCUGUGAGGAAUAGGACAGAGCCAGGGAAGGGGAAGAGCAUUGCCUGUUCCUGACACCAAAAAGGUGGUAUGGGAAUGCCCUUAGUGGUAGCAGAGGGCUCCUGCCCCACGCGUUCAGUGGAGCAGAUUUUUCCCAGCUUCUUGUUAGACACCCAGUCUUGGCUUUCCAGCCACCGCCAACACUGUCUGGGCACAGGGCCACGUUUACUCUGGCUCUACAGCCAGAAAUAUGGUGAUCUCUGGUUCAUGCUGGUGUGUGGCUGGCCUGAAUGCAUCAAAAUGCGUCAUCAGGAGUCACUAGCUGCAAAAAUCCGAACCAUGGCAGGGAAACUGGGGGGCAUAUAGCACGGCACUGAAGAGAGGAGCAGCGCCGGCAACCAGACACAGAGAAUGCUCUUCAUUUUCAAAUCACUUUAUUAGAAGGCCACUUCCUAAAGUAAAGCAUCUCUUUCGGAGUGCUGUGUUUCAAUCUCUGAGCUGUAUCAGGAGUGCAGUUUGUUUUGCAAGAGCCAAUGUACCAAUUACAGGCUGAGACUUUGAGAGAGGCACGAGGGACUCAACCACACAUCUUCCAUUAAUUAUCUCUUGGCCACAUUAGUGCUACAAUGAUAGCACCAGUAAUAUGUCACAAGCUCAUUUUCUGUCAUUAAAAUCAGCAGAUGCGACCCUGAUCCUUGCUGGGAGCACAUCUUCUCAGCAAGAAGGUGCUGUUUUAUCGCAGGCACUUUUAAAGUACAGUGCCAUUUAAAUGCCAGAUUGUGCUGGAGCAGAGCUCUGGUCCUGCUUCUUCUGACCUCCUGGGGCAGGGGGGAGCUGAGCUCUGCAAUAGUCCUCACAGCAGCGCCGAGCCUGGACUGAGUUUGUCUGUACUGACCUCCUCCUCUUGGUGUGAUAGAGAAAUGGUCCGAGUUUCAAAAAGCUGAUGCAUAGGCAUUGCUGGUAGAUAUUAAUGCAUCAGUUGUAGGCUGUUGGAAUGCAAAUAAUUUGGCUGUUGUUUCACCCUGGGUUCCAGAUCCAACAAUUCGGGCUGCGUCAUGGUGAGGCACCUUCUCCCUGUGUCCCUUGCAGCCACAGGCUGGGCUCAGAGUAUCGAGCCCCAGGUUGCUGCUGUAUUCCAAGCCUGAACAUUGUUCCAACUUCCAUCUCCUACUCCCUCUCCCAUCCUGCCAUGUACACUCUGGGGGCCAGAAAGCAUCUCUUCUCAGGUUAGGUCUAGUGCCAAACUCAGUGCGUUGAAACUUAGCAAUCCACUCACCUAAGCAAUGACAGCUUAGGCAGCAGCUUGCUCCGCCAGCCUCUUCCGUCUGUUUCUGAGAAGAAAAAGAACAAAAAGCACUCCGUUUGGAAUAUUGCGUAAUAUUGCCCUUUGAAAGAGAAAAUGUGGAAAAACCCAGCCAUUGCUAUUGGCCUUAUCCUUCCCUUACCCUUCACAGGGAGCGGUGCUGGUGCACAGACGUGUGCCUGUGUCUGUCCAUCUGGCUGCACGGUGCCUCUGAAGGCGGCAGCUGGGCUGGACGCGGGCAGGAGGUAACCCUGCUGUGGGAAGGCGUCCAGAUUGUAAAUUAGCCCCCAAAAAUAACAACAAGAAGAAAAAGAUGGCACCGUCCAAAGAUUAGAAGUUGAAAGGGACGGGUUGACGCCACACUAAGCAGCCUCUUCUGGUUAGAAUAUGAGCGGUGGGUGUCAGCAGCAAUAGAGCAGGUUGCCUACAACCCCAGCAGGCGCUCCGACCUGAUGGGUGUGCAGGCUGUGUGGCUGUGGGGAGCUGCUGAGCCUUGGUGUGCACGAUUCCCCCUGACACACACUGGCUGGAGAAGGUGCUGCGUGGCUCGGGUGCAGCCUGGGCCCCUGUGCUAAUGCAGGAAGGACCCAGUCUUGAACUUCUUUCUGUGCGCAGACAUUGGUUCCUUUUCUUCUAAUUCUUAGCUUUGUAAGAUCAGAGAUGGGGCUGUGUUCCAGCGCCAGCAAUCUCAUUUCUGUCGCAGGGUUAUAAAUGUGUCUGGGACCUUGCCAUGUGUCUGCGUGGCCCAGAGGCCCCGAAGCAUCCCUGAGUUGCAGCCAGGAGGACCUGUGUCCAUGCACACAGCAAAACAACUUCUUGCACUGACACAGUGGUAUGAAAAGGUGGGCCAAAAGCUGCUGUUUCAAGGCCAACAGGAAAACAUAUUGCACUUUCCUUCCGUGUGCCACAUAGCCUUUCCUAGUGGGGCUCCUGCUGUGCUGCCACAGGGCGUGGGGCUGCUUCCCCAUCCAAUGCUGCUUCACUAGCAAGGCUGGAACGUGAGGCUGGGUGGGCAAGGGCUGAUACUGCUUGAGCAAGCAAAUACGGAUGAAGAAAUAAAUAUUUGGCAGAAACGUUUUAAAGCUACAAACAUUAAAUAUUACUAUGCAGAGAAAUGUUAGAGCAGUGAGAUCCAUAUACAUUCACCAAGGGCUAUAUCUCACGAGCCACACAAGAGAGACAAGAUUUAAGGAAUGAGAAGAAACUGCUUUUAAGCUGAUUUCUAAUAAAACCAGGCUUAUUAUUUAAUGGUGUGUUUUAUGCCAGGAGGACUAUUGGUAGAGCCUGGCACUGCUGUGGUACGGCCCAGCUCCCGUCUCUCAGGAAGCAGUUAUCAGACAGAAUUUUAAUGGCUCUUAGGAGCCGUCCGAAAGGCUAGUAAAAUCAGAGGGAAUUCUUAAACAGAGUUGUUCUGAGCUUUUCACGACGCCUCUUUCCUCACCUUGCUGCAGAAGCACAAGCCCUCGCUGCAUGCCACGGAGCGGUAUGGCCGCCGGGUGCCCCGGUGAGGGGUGGGUGGCUGUGCCCCACGGGGGGGAUGCAUUCAGUGCUCUCUGUGAUAACCUGGCUCCCGGGCUCUGCUCCCUCCUGCACGCUGUGCUGUAUCCUGUCCUCCUGGAUGGAGCCAUCGCUGGGGCCUUGGUUCAGCACAUGGUUUAGAAACUGAGAGCAGGGAAAGUGAGAGAGGGAGAUCAAUAAACCUCAGUAAGGGGAGAAAAAAGGCAGUGGCUUCGGGGAAGAUCUAGAGAGCUUGUAGUUAUCAUUAGGAGCGACAAGCAGUGAUGUCUUCUUGGCAUAUCUCAUUAGAAAGUGCUGGGAGCUACUGAACUGGACAGCGGCUUCAAAUGCCAGUGACCUCCGGGAGCUGGAAGUGAACGUUGUAAUUGAUAUAAGGAUGGAAGCUGCUGCACUACAAAGUGGCAUUUUGGAUACUGUGGGAACAGGUGAUGUGAAGCAUCCUCGGCGAGAUCUGUUUCCCUCCACUCUUUUGACUCCUGUCAGAGGUGCGUGUUCGAGCUUUUCUCUGGGCAGAUGGCUUCUGCAAAUAGAACUGGCUUUGAAAUACAAAGUUUUGUCGAAUUCAUUAUACACCUUCUGACUUCAAAGCCGUGCCGUUUCCUCUUCAGUUUCAAACAGAGUCGCGCGGCUGCUUCCAGGGCUGUUACAUUGGAAACAGACAUUGCAGAGCACGUCACCAGCACAGUGUGGCAGCCCUGGGAGCAUCACCGGCUCCGGACCACAUCCCUGCCCACAGCUGGAGCCACACGGUGCUGCACUUCCUGCCCUCUGUGCUCUCCUUGGUGGGGACACCCCUGGCUUUUCCCAUUCAGUGAGGUGCAGCCAUGUGAGCCUCUCCCAGCUCUGCCAGGCUCAGAGGGCAGGGCAGGUGGGAAGGGCUACGGAUAGACUUCACCCUUGAAGCUGUCGCGUCCAUCUGGGUGCCAGACCUCCUUGCUGAGGUGUUCCAACAAGAGGCUUCUUCCUCCAAAGGGAGGAGCUGUACAAAGCCAUUUUCAUGUCGCUUUAUUUUGAAUUCACCUUCUGCAGCACGGUGGUUAUCCAUUGCAGCUCAGCAAGCGGGUGCCGGCACUCAGAAUCUCCUACGAGCUCCUAAAGCUGUCUGCAUUACUUCACAUGAGCUACAUGUGCUCAACUUUGUCCGAAGGGAUGGUUUUGGGGUUUCAUGUCUCAUUUUUCUUUUGGGGAUGUGUUGGAGCUGCUCUAAGGGAUGUCAAUUAGAGAGCUUUCUCUUUGUAUCUGCUUCCUGCACAGAGAGAUGACAUUUUUUUGGCCAAAAGUUUUCUUGGAAAGAAAAUGUCACUUUGUGAAACUGAAAUGUCAGUUUAGUCGAGUUGUUCAUAUGCAAAAAGCGAAUGGAGAAAAGAAGCACCCAAACUUCAAAGCAGCAGAAAGACUCCUUUCGACACCUUCUGAUUUGCCACAACUUUGUUCUGAAAGGCUUCGGGUUCGUUCUGGAAGUUUUAAAAGGCUCAAAGCCAAAAUGUUGCGACCGAGCAAAAUGUUUGCUCCAUCCUCUACUCAUUCUCUUCUUUUUCAUUAUUAUUUUAGAACUGGCAUCAAACAGAAGAUCUAUUUUUCGCCCUGCUCUGGUUGUCUGCAGCAUCUGGAUAAGCUGAAGACAGCAUUUGCUAAACUGAAAAGUAUUUAGGGAGAAGUUCUCUGUCUGUACCUCGCCUCUCAGCAGCUGGACCAUUUAUGGAUGCUCUGUAAGGGCAGUGUACGAUGACUUGCAGCAUUCCUCCAUGAGAAGCUUUUGUGGGAUUUCUGUCUUAUCAUUAGCACGUUAUAAAAAUGUCAACUAUUUCCAAACCUUUCAAGUUUCAUUGGAAGGACUACUCUGAAUUUCAGCCCUGAAGUCGGUUGAUGUGCGGUUUGAUCAUCUGUUCCUCCUCUCGUACAGAUGCUCUCAAUGUGGGCAGCAGAGCAGCGCUGUCACAGCAGAUUAAUGGCAGAAUGCAGCACUGCUUGUGGAAGCAGAGUAACUAAAGACCAACAGUGAUGUUGUACCAUCUGAAUAAACCCUGAAAUUAGAAUAAUUUUUCUCAAUGUUUCGGCCUCCUAAGUACAAAGUAAUAACCCUGUCAGGGGUAAUAUUUGCUGCUGUCUCCUGUGGAUGCAUUGGGAAUUCGCUGCAGCCUCCUGGGCAGAAGGUGGGUGUGUUGAUGGUGGGACACUGUACUAAAGGGAAAUGUACACAAGCCCCUUGGUCGCAGUGCAGGAUGGAACUACUGGGAAGAUCAGUGCUGCUUUGAACGUGGCAUUUGGUUUGGUUUCCUCACAGAAAGGACAAUGGAAAAAUGGGGAAUGUAUAUAUAUUUGUACAGCAGGCAAAAUGUGUUGUGGACUUCGGUAGGAGAUGGCAGUCGGUAUGUGAAAUCCAGACCCGAGGCAAAUACCAAAUGGUGGAUGGUGAAGAAAGCCUCGCUGAGUGCUCAUUGCCUCAGUACAAAUUGGACGAGGGCAAAACCUCAGCGAAGGAUGAGACUUAACAAUAUUCCUGUAAACCUCACAAAAAUAGGAGUAAUCCUGUAGCAUUGCCAGGCUGGGGGAAGUCACUUAGCCAUUGUUUGAAUCUGUUAAACUGCUUGCUUCUGGGCUUCUGUGUGCAUUCAUUUUGGAGGAUUCUCUGAGGAGACCUCAAUGCUCUCUACAACAACCUGAAAGGAGGUUGUGGCAAGGUGGGGGUUGGCCGCUUCUCCCAGGUAACAGUGACAGGAUGAGAAGGAAUGGCCUCAAAUUGCACCAGGGGAGAUUCA